rnacentral:lncRNA from 1 species
GGCGACUUGCUGAGUCUGGAAGAGGCAGGCCCCAGCCAGGCCUGUUAGGCUGAGGUCCCCCGCCUUGUUUGCCUCCCGCAUGGCUGUCUCUCGAGGGAGGGACGAGUUCUUUCAAAGGAAGCUGCUCUUACGAUCAGCUGAACUAGGCUGUUUGGUCAUCUGUGAUGGGGGACGGACUGCCAGAGUUUUGAGGCUACCACCCAGCUGUGAGCCCUCUGUGGCCUCUGCCUCCCACUCCGUGACUCUUGGAGGAGCUGCAGACCUCAGGACAGG